GUAUUGACAAAGCCUUGGUGUUAUUCAUGUUGUUGGCUGCAUGAUUUUGAAAAAAUAAAGAUAUUAAAGUGAAUCUUGGUGUACACAUGUUUCCAAAGACAUUUGUAGAACAAAUUGUAGAACAAAUAACAUUCUUCUGUGAGGCAAACCCUGUUAUAUUGAACAGAUUUAUUAAAAUGAUCGCUUUUUUCAGAAAGAAAUAUGAAUAGAGGACUUCUAUAGCAGAAGAAGUAUAGCCAAAAUUGCAGAAAACAACAACCGAAUGACUGCAUCACUAAAGAAAAGAAACAGGAUUUCUCCAAAUGUAGAAAUGCAGACAGCUCUUCACCAUCAACUGUGAUCCUUUGUAAUUUUGUGUACAUAUGAAACUAAAUGACUGCAAAGAAU